ensembl:lncRNA
CCUUCCUCUCUCUCUCCACGGCUUUCACACACACAUUCACACUCUCACGCUUAUACAUUCCUUCCUCCAGGAAAGGAUUAGUUGUGAAUACCUGUCUGUUCCUGCUGCCUGAGUACCCACUCUAAUGAGGCUGAUUUAAAUGCAGCCCUUAAAAACUGCUAAGCAGCCGCAGCGAUUUAUUUAUGUUGAGCCAAAGCUCCAUCUGCUUGAUCACUUUCUUCCUGUGUGUCUGGCGUAUUGUAGAUUUCUAUACGUGUUCCAAUGUGUACAUCGCAUGUCUUGGGACAUCAUUCAAAGGAACCAAAACAUAACUUGAUGAAUUUUGAUGAAUCGUCUUAUACAGCAUAGGUUCUCAACCUCGGGGUCGGCCGAGAUGUGAAAAGAGGAGGAUUUCUACAGACCGUCAUUGCAUGUAGGAUAUAUGCAUGUACUGUAUUGUCUUGAUGUACGGAAUACGUUUAUGAUAAGUAAAAUGUAGAUUUUUUUUUUUUUUUUCUUUUGGCCCGGCAUGCUCAUGGGUUUUCGCUAGAACAUCAAGUGGGCUUUUAUUGACAUUUCUCCAUAUAGCUUGUAUACAUUGGAGCGAAAUGUCGUUUCUCCAAGACGAUCGACGGUGCAACGCGCAACAGUAGAGUACUACAGUACGCAAUACUACAUACAAUGCAAAUACAUUUAAAAAAAAAAAAAAAAAAUGAGUGAGAUGAGUGCAGGACAAUAAAUACGCAACAAUUUAUGCAGAACAAUAAAUACAAAGGAGAAUAAAUAAAUAGAACUAAUACACAGAACAAUAAAUACAAAGGAAAAUAUAUCAAUAGAACAAUAAUAAAUACUGUACACGGAACGAUAUACGCAGAACAACAGACGAGCGUUGCGUGGGAAAGCUGUUCUACUAUUGUGUAGUGUAACAGCAGUGUAGCAGCAAUCCAAUAUUCAUAUCUUGUAGUGUAUGCCCAUAAUCUGAACAACACACGGGUGAUAUUUCGCUCUACAGCAGCACUGUUGGUUAAAAUCCUUCUUCAAUUUAAAAAAAAAAAGUUUUAAAUGUCACAAAGUGUAGGUGUGAAAAUUGCAUUAAUGACACACUUUGUGAUGAUAUACCGUACAGUGGUAAUGAAUAUUAAUAAUACAUACCGAUAUUUGCAAGAAACCCUGACGCACACCAGCCGCGACUCUCGUGAACGUUUGAAGUGAGAUGCAACUCGACUGAUCCGACCAACGCGACUAACUAGCACGUGUUUAUUUACAGGAAGCGGGGUUCUAUGCCAUCGGGUUCAUCAAAUCUAGCUUUAAAUAAGAACGUUACCGAGAGUCCUGCAGGUUGUGCGCUUAUUUACAGGAGCACACUGUGAAUGUUUAGAGUCGUAGUGCUUUUCACUGGGAGGACGGUGUGGUGGAACAUGUACUGUAUUACAUGUACUGUAGUAUCAUGUCCAUGGGGAUGACGUCAGGCAGAAGUGUCUCACCCACUCACUGUGCAACGAUGAAUCUGUGCGACAUGGAAAUUGUUCUCGCGUUGAUCGUGUUGAUCCCGAGCUCAAAAGGAGGAACCCGAGUGCCCACAAAUGACUUUGUUAGUGCGUUGGUACUUGAACAAUACUAAUGGGGAAACAGCUUUUUUCUUUUUUUCUUUUUUUCUUCUUACCAGCGGUUAAGAAAUCUUUCAUCUUCCAAAUCCCCCGGUGACACGGUACUCUGUCGACGUGUCCUUCCUCUGACCACUAGCAUGUGGCCUUGGGCGAAGCAAUUAACCUCAAGCCACUGCAGGGGUGUUGCAACAUGGCAACUCUGUCUCCCCUUCCUCUCUCUCUCCUCGUCCUCCCAAGGGCACACGCGUAAAUGAGAACAUUUUUAACAUGCCUUAUAAAAUAAAGGUUAGGAAGCAUCCCCGUUUCUUUCCUGCGCACAUGGCAGACGUGUUUCCUCUCACGGGUUAUCUGUGGCCAGUCAUCCACAGAUCGUUUAUCCAGUCUCAUGAUCAUCGGCGUGUACGUUCCUUUUAUCAUCGUAUAUUGACUGCUGACAUAGCUGGCGCGUGUUGGCAUCUCCGGUGUGACGAUUGCGGGGGCGAGAGAGCGAUUCCGCCGCACGCUAUUCCUUUUUGAAUAGGUUUAUUAAUAAUAUGGCAGGUGUGAUGUAAAGCGAUGUCAGUUAUUGAACCCCCUUUUUCUUUAAACACCCUCAUUUUAAACACUCGAGAAUUUGCAAAGAAAUGGGUCAUAAGUGACGUGAGAAAUGAAACGUUCCGUGUCGUGCGAAGUGAGAGAUGUUAGGAAUUCCUUCGUUAUUAUCGGCGCAAACUAGUACGGAUCCGGACAGGUUAAAAGCUUUCAUCGCUGCAGUUAAGCACAUGUAGCACACCUCAUUUAUGAUCUACAGUUAACUCUAGCACAGUGUACGAGUCUUUUUAACGGGUCCCGAGCGCUCCUGCCUUUAAUAACGCACUCACGUAGAGUCGCAUUAGGAUCUGAGAGCUAAUAAGUUCCACAAAGAUUUAGCCUUUGCUUUUUAACUGAUAUUAUUGAGGAGUUUGCUUGGUCUGUGGCAAUAAUAGUGAUUUAAACUAUAAUAAAAGAUUUUAGAAAUCUUAAGAGCUCUUCGGUAGAACCCUGUCGGAACGGAUUCCACAUGGAACCAUUUUAGAAAGCUAAGGAACCCUUUUUCGACGCUUUUAUUUGGACACGGGGCAAUUCCACACACUGCCGUGUUUGUUUUUUGGGGUCAAAUUGCCCGUGUGUUUGAAUAUGCUCGUGCAGAGUGACCCGCGAUGGAUUGGAGUCCCAUCGAAUGGUGUCUUCCCACCUUGCUCCCAGUAUUCCCAAGAUCUAGACCUCUCGACACGUCCCUGACGAGGAUAAAGCUGAACGUUCAGUGAAUAACCCAACAUGAAUCCAAAUAAAUGUAUCGAAAGAGGGUUCAUCGGAUCGUCAAAGGCCCGUCGCUUUCCCGAAACGGUUCCAUGUGGAACCCUUUCUGAUGGGGUUCUACCGAAGAGCUCUUAAGAUUUCUAAAAUCGGAGAACCCGAAGGAAACCCCGACGAGAACACGCAAAGCCCUGUACGGACGGUCAGGGUUGAGCAGGGUUGAUGCGGUCAUCCAUGCCGCCCGUGAUGUUUAUCAAUCAAGUGAAAUUAGGCUUGGUCAUAAAAAAGAAAGGACGGUAGAAAGAAAGAGAGACUUGUGUAACACUCUCUGAUAACCGCGAGACACAUCGGCGUUCACACUGAAGCCAAACCAACAAGUCCUCCCUCUCUACAAUGCUAUUGUAAUUCAGCCGAUCAGCAGGGAGUCAUGUUCCUGUUGCGUUAUCUCGCUCUAUUUCCUUUCUCUCAAAGUUAACAGUCGCUCUGUGGUCUUGACCAGAUCUAUUGCUAUUUCUUUCUUUCUUUCUUUUUUUUUUUUUAAAAAGACCCGAAUCUGUUUAAUUUCCAAACCUUUCAAGGCAUGCCAUGUUGGCUCGAGCAUUUCUGCAGGCGUGACUUUUAUCUCCCUCACGCACAGAGCCAUUGUCUCUCUUCUGGCGUUAUUCGGGCCACUACUUCCAUUCUGCCAGUGGAAGGGGGAAAAAAAAGCUUCCUCUUGGUGGCACAAGGUGAUAGAUUGAGUAAAACCUGCUGACUGUUUCAUUCGGUCUCCUCCCUCAAAUCCCUCACUCCACCUCACCGUUCAGCCUACAGUGAUGGAUGGAAUGUCUGUCUCUUUAUCCCUGGCAUGACUGAGCAGAAAAGUGACGUAGUGGACAAGGGGAAGGAACUUAAAAAAAAAAAAAGAGCCAGCAAACAUAUUGUCCUCCGCCUCCCUGUGGUCACCAUGCUUAGGUCACUCACAGUUCAGCCAGCCUUCCACUGGGUGACUAAUGAUAGAUUUCCUCCCUCUUUAAUUCUCUCAUCCCCCCCUUGUAGCUGCUCCUGUGACUUUUGAGGCAGCAAGCUACCAGGAAAUACAUCAUCCACUGCUGAGCGAUUGCUUAAAUUAGCUUACAGGCAAAGACCUCGCAAAGGUUCAACGUUUUUUUCUGUUAAAGUUAUGCUCGCCUCCGUGACUCCAUUAAUUAUGCACGCUAUGAGCUCUGAUUGGGAGGCAGGCACGGUCGUCUUCUUGGGGGGGGGGUUCAAAGUUCAUUCUAAAAACAUUGAUCGUCGAUUGCGCCGUCACGACUAGGGAACUGGAAUUUUACGUUCUCCAGAAACAAACGCUAGAGUUUCCCGAUUAUUUUGAGUUUACGAAUAGCUCGUUAUUUUCCUUCCGAGAAUGAUUUUAGUUACAGAGAGCUCUGCCAGAUAUUAUGCGCCAUCUUCUCCAACACUGAUAUUCUUUAUGCUAUUUAAUAAAGGAACUGUCCAGGCUUCUGUUCAAAGCCUUAGUAUAUUUAAGCAGACGAGAGAACUUUCUCACAAAAGAAAGCUUCUGUCCAACAAAUUCCCAAUUGAAUUUGUUUCCUUGCCUGCUUAGCGGAGCCUUGGCGGAUGGUGUGUUGGUGACCAUUUGGAUGGGGCUGGCUGGCAAGAGCGAGUGUCAUGUUUGAAGGCUUCCCAGUGCUCCCACUGAGCCUUUUUCAGCUCCUGCCCAUGUGUGAGCUGAAAUAGACUUUGGAGCUAAUCUCGCUUCCACUGAUCCACAAAGUUAAAAUGGGAGACGAGAUCAGAGGCGUGGAGCUAAACUUUUCUGUCACUCUACCAAGUCCGAGUCUGUAUUAAUGUUUUGUAAUAAAGUAUUGAGUAAAUUUUCCAUCUGGCAAAGUGUCAAAAGAGGGACAGGAGAGCUAUGAUGAUAUGAAAUUCAUCGUGUGGCACAGAAUGUCAUGGGUUUUGAUAUUUGGAAAUAUCUCAAUGGUGGUACUUUUAAGACAGACUCCUUAAUAAGUAGUCUAUCCAUAUUAACACCGCGGUUUACUCUGAUUUUUCACCUGAUGCAUCUUGAACUGGUACUCGACUCAUGGAACGUCGUGCACAUGAAUGAGGUGCAAAUUGCGUUUUAUAAGCCAGUGAGGAAAAUGGUCUAAAACGUAGAAGGAAAAGAAAAGAAAAAAGUAAUAACUCUAAAAUAAAAUAACCACAGAGCUGUCAGAAAUCUCAGGACUAGGCGAAUGAAGAAUAAUUCGUACUGGCGAAAUGUUUUGAAUGUCAAUGUGCUGGAUUUCAUGCCAAAAGCGGCUUAAUGGAUAAACAUGAUUAAAAGUCAUAGUUUCUCUGAAUAGUGCUUCGGCUCGGGUUCGAAAAAUGUUUCCGUGUCAUUCUUACACAUUUAUGAAUAAUAAAUAAACCCUAUCUGUUAGAACAAAUAAAAACCAACUCGCUCGGAGUUUAAAAGUUUGCCUGAAAACUAUGGAUCUGGCAACGUGCGUACUCCUAAUAUACACUUGCUUUUUGGCGCGGACAGAAUUACACAUCUGCUGCUAAUUGCUGAAAAUGUAGUACGUGGAGCGGAAUAUGUCAAUCGGCCGCGCUUCCCAUUUCUCUACCCUUGUUUGCUCUGACGUCCCACUUUUGUUCCAUCCAUGUUUAAAGAGAUGUGGACUUGCUUAAAUUGUGCAUUUAGGCGUGUACAAUAGGUUCAUACAUAACAUGCGAGGUAUUCCACACAGAAUUAUGCCUGAAGAGCUCAACAAGAAGUGUUUUCUUUAAGGCACUGAUAAUCGACUUCAUGCCUUAUCCGAAAGUUAGUAAACAAAGGCACUGUGUUGUGGUAGUCAAUCAGUACGUUUCCAUGGACGACGAUAUUCCGAUAUUAACCCGAUUAAGACGACACUCUGAUUAAGAAACUAGCACGUAAACAGCGAUUAUUGACGACCUUAAUCCGAUUAAAGUCAUACUCGAAGUAAACACAGAUGGAAUUAAGACGUGUGGCGUAUUCCCGUGUUAGUCGACGUGCGUUACAGACACGUACACACCUUAAUCACACUAUUAACGUCGUGUGAGAGUUUUCACUACAUUGUGCGACAGGACACGUACACACACCGCAGCUCGACCGUUUGACGGCGAACGAGAGAGCACGGCCGCGUCCGAAACCGCGUGCUUACCUGCUACGGUAUAUAGCAGGCGAAAUACUUGUAUCUGAGCUACUAUAUAGACGGUAAGUACGCGGUUUGGGACGCAGCCCGCACCUUCAAGCAGUCGUCUAUCGGCGCGUACGGCACGACGAAUAAUUAACUGCACUUCCGUGAAAUUAAAAAUAAAAUCUCCAAAAAUUGUUUACGGUACCUUAACGAAAACGAACAGUAUGUCGAUACGUGAAAUUCUGGAGCGGACGGCGUGACGCGGGGACGUGAUGACGUGUGCCGUUAAUCGCUCCGUGUUCUAUGACGUGUAAAACGGGAACACGGAAGGAGUAUUCUAAAAGCGACUCGUGUAAACACCUUAAUCAGAAUAUUGUCUUAUUCAGAAUAAGGUCAAUCAUUAGAUUACCGCUGUCCGUGUAAACGUAGUCAAUGUCAUGCAAGAGAGGCAUUUGCCACAAAUCUUUUAUGGCCUGAGAAAUGAAUGAGCUUGACUCCAACUUGUACACAAACAUUCUGAUCAUGAAGACCUCUGCCUAAUCCAUGUUUAGUAAUAAGGAACUAUGCGAGACCUUUUCUCAGGCACCUUUCAUCGUUCAGGAUCGUGUAUAGUACGUUUUUCCUUUAGUUUCGAAACACUCUUUUCCUGAAGGGUAAUAAGACAAAAAUGAAACAGAAUCAAAACCACAAGGCGCAAAAGUCCUGAAGAUUGCGUAGCACUGUAACCGGAGACUCCUUCCUUAAAUGCUUAAACGUCCACCGUACAGAAAGCUUCACCGUAUCACCGAGCGCUUUAAUGCCGUCAUUUAAAUUACAGCCGGAACCGCUACUGUCCCGGCCACGCGGUUAUAGAAGACCUUCAGAUUUGAGAACACAACAGUGCUGGGUGUAUGUACUCUUUAACCGGGAAAAAAAGUAAAUAAAUCUUCGUCUAGGAAACCUGACAGGAUUUCGGUUUUACCUGCUGCAUAACUCAAACUCCUUAGCCUGAGAAAGUACAGCUUUCAACUGCUCUCAGGCAGAAAAGUACUAUAACACAAUGUUCUUCAACAAAGGUCACGGAGUGAAACAGGGUGGAAAAAAAAGUGGUGGGGGGUUUAAAAAAAAACAAAAAACCUGAAGCUAUUUUGAAAUAUCGCAGAGUAGCUAACCGUAUAUUGAACAAGCAUUCGUCUUCAUUUGACUGCAUCCGUUUUUUUUUUUCAUAGUGCUAAUGAGUUUUUAGGUUUUUGGGCUCCUUUUCAUCUGAAACGUAAGCAAAUUUUUUUUCUUUUUUUCCCUUCUUCUUCUUUAAACCGACUGCUGUGCUUCAGUUUAGACCUUCUCCUGUGAGAGGACUGUAAUUCAGUAAUAUAACCGCUGCUCUGCACAGUUUGGUCCCUGAUUCACUUUCAUGCUGAACACUGUAAAAAGGGAAAAGAAAAAAAAAGAAAAAAAAAAAAGAGUGGGGUGGGGGGGGGAUUUCUGGCUGGAAGGACUCUCUCUAGUCCUCUGUUCUUUCUCACAGCUCUUCAAAGUAAUUCGGAACGACACGCACUUCAUUAGACACGUCUUUGACUGAAGGCUGCAGAGAUGCGUUUCCGCCUCUUCGAGCACUUAGGGCCUUCAUUUCAGCAGAGGGAAUCAAUAAGACAAUUUUUCUGUCCUUUCUGCGCCGCGACUACCACUGCUGGUUUUUUAAAGCUUUGCUGCAAGUGAACAAAUUUGCACUUGCGACCACGGGUAUGCAAGACGGGAGAGGUGCACGAGCGCGUGCACGAGCGUGUGUUUUUUCUCUGUUAAACCAACUGGGAUUCUGCGUGUUUUUUAUUAUACGUCUGCGAGACGUGAGCGGAAUUAUAAGCGAACAAACCUGAAAUGGAUAGCCUCUGUAUUUUCAUUAUCGGCGUUUUAUUUAUAUAAUCGUUUUAACUUGGCCCUCGAGUGGCACGCUCGAAUCCGGUCAGUCGAGGUUCACGUCG